CAGCUUGUCUGUCAUGCAGGCCACUGGUCACUCAGGGUUGUCAACUGGUCAUCAGCAAGGCUCAAUGUGAGAGAGCUGUUGGUGUGAAGAUGGUGGGAAGGAUGGCUCCUGUUGGACUUCUCCUAGUCUUUCAAAGGGGUUUCCUUUUGAGGAAACUGGAUUGUAUUUUGAGUCAGCGAUUGAAACCUAGAGGCAGGAGGCUGGGUCAAGGUUUGGGGCCUUAUCUCGUCUCAGGCACCUCUUCCUGGGCGUCAACUGUCUCCUGCAGAAGAACUUGGGGCAGGAUAUUUUGAGAAAGAGAGUGAGGGGAGCUCCUGAUUCAUGUACAGGGCACUAUCUGGAGGUCUCAGGUGUUUAGAGAUCUCUGUCCUCACAGAACCAAACACAUUCCUAUCCAAGAAUCAUGAUGCAUCAGUGUUGUGCCUCUGGACAAGCCUCUUAAAAUCUCUAAAUUUCAAUGCUGUGAACUACAUAAGGAUCUUAACCUGAUGAAUACCAAAAGAAAACUGGUUCCUCACUUUAAGAAGAUAUUCGUCUCACCCCAAGCGGUGGAUCAGAAAAAAGGAUAUCCUACCACACCCCAAGGUGCACCCUACAAACAAGUCAGCUGAAGAUCCCCUGACGGCCUAUUGGAGGAGCUUCCUCAUGGUGCAGCAGAGGAAGAGGCCCCAUGUGGUGCCAAGGUGGCCUCGAGAACCAGUGAAAAUGGUAUGUGUUUUAGAAUCACUCACUUGCUGAGGAAAAAUCUAGAAGGAAAUAAAGGUGGCUUUCUUGAAAGUCACCCUAUUUCCAGCUUCCUACUGGGAAUGAGGGUUGGGGAUGUGAUGUAAGGGACCGAUUUUCUAGGUAAAGGACUAUGGCCUCGUUCUACAAUCACUGGGGUGGCUGUGUUCCGUUUAGGUGGUGUGGGUCUGCGUAUAUGGAGCUCUGGGGGUGUCUAUGUGUGAGUGUGUAGUGUGAUUGCGAAUGUGUGGGCAAUGUUUAUGGGUCCAGAGUGUGUGUUUCCCCAGCAGGUACAUGUCGUUACACAUUGCAAUCGCCAGCAUCACCCUUCUCAAAGAAACUCCCAUCACCAUUGCACACUUUACAUACAUACCUCAUUCAACCCUCACCACAGCCAUGCCUGGGUGUGGGUUACUAUCCCCACUCCUCAGAGAGAGAAACUGAGGUGCAGAAAUGAAUGAUCCAAGCUCAGGAGCUCCUACAUGGAAGAAACAAAAUGUGAACCCAUUCUACCAUUCGGAGGAAUGGGUGAGCCUCUCUCUUUAGUAACUUUCUUGCUGAUGUUAGUGUCUCUAAAGAUUGGAUUGUCGACAGAAGAUAUGACUCGAGCAGCGAGGAUGACGACUCUCCAGCUCCCACUGAGGGCCUGGUGGAGGAGCUUCCCAGGGACAGGGCAGAGGAAGAGAUCCCAUCUUAUAACAAGGUGUGGUCACAGAUCUUUGAGAUGGAAAUGUUGCUUUCUUGGUCUCUUUCUUUCUUUUUUAAUUCAAUUGAAUUUGCACAUGAAAACUCGAACACAUGCAUUAGAGAUGGUAUUUAUGCUUUCCCUGGGGAAUAUUGAGUCUCUUGCUGAUGACACCUGAUUCAAGAGGCCAUUCGCGAAUGGCAGGAUCAGGUUAUGGACUCUGUGUAGGGGCCUUUCCUCAGCAAAAAUUUUCUCUCAGUGAAUUAAGAAUUUCAUCAUUGGCAGCCAAUAUGGACUUGAGAGGUACACGGUUCAGGAAAAACUCAUGCCUUUCUCUCCGGUAUCCUCUACACUGUCUUUGGGGGCCUUUGACUGGACAGUUUCCCAUCAGUUUUUCUAAUGUCAUCAACAGGACAAAAGAUCCACGCAAACAAUACACAGCAUGAUCUGGCCUCAUAGUAUUUCCUUUUCUGCAAUUGCAGGUGGCCUCCGGAGUGAGCGAAAAUGAUUGGAUUGUCGACAGAAGAUAUGACUCGAGCAGCGAGGAUGAUGACUCUCCAGGCCACCCCAUCACCGUCACCGCCCUUGUGCACGCGGAAGCCUGUCUUACAGACUCUGAGGAUUAGGACCAGGGACCAGCCGUCUGCAUGAAUCUGACUCCAGAAAUCCUCUUGUCCUGGAGUCAAGAGAACGAAUCAAGGAAGGAAAAGGGGCUGAAAGAGAACGAGAAGAGGAAAUGUGAGUGUGGCGAGCGGAGGAAGAAGAGCCAACGGCAGAUAAGCGCACUUCAAGGGGAACCAGAAACCCCAAGGAGAGCGCUGGUGUGGCCGCUGGCGCUCGCGGCCGUGCAGGGACAGAGAUGAUGGUUAAGGUCCUGCUGGCAGGUGAAGCCUGUCCCGACAACAUGCCCAGGAAGUGGAGACCCGGUCCGUGGACGGCCCUGAGUUUGCUAGGCUGAGCCCUCCACUGGCUCCGGAAUUUGGAGGAGAGGGCUGGAGGUGCCCACAGGGCCGCCACGUGCCUGACCCCAGGAGGUGCAGGUCACACCGUGUUCUUUGUGAAAGGUAUCCCUGCAGGGGCUCCACAUGCUCGUCUUGCAGGACCCAGUCCUGCCCUCCCGACCCUCUCAAGGUGAACAGGAGCACCUCAGCUAGUCCAAGUGAUGAGACAGUGUGGGGAGGCCUGACUGACCCACCCCCCCUCCACACCCCCCA
ensembl:lncRNA